GGCGUGGUCUGCGGUGCUGCUGCUGGAGAGGCGGAUGCACCUGAGGGGCAUCCGCAAUCACGCCUCAGGGAACAUGCCACAGAUGGAAGAAAACACUGACUGUGGUGAAGAUCAAAGUGACACCGUGACCUGCACCACUGUGAAAACUUCCUCCUCUUCCACUGGAGUUCCAACUGAUCCCAGAAACCCACUCUAAGUUCAACAAGCAAAAGAAUCCAGAUGUUUCUCAGCAAAUCAUACCUUGAGAGUGAUAAGGUUCUCUCUGACUUUUUCAUAGGCAGUGCAGCCAGCAAUCUUUUUUUACUGUACGUUUUCUUUAAAUUCUGUACAAGUUCUUGUAAUACAGUAUUAAAAAAUUACAAGAUGUUACUUUGUUAAGCAUUGUCUUCUUCCACUUCUUCAAAAAGGAAAUGUGUGUGUAAAAAGAGUUUGACAUGAAAAAAGAAAUGUAAAAAAUAUCAUGGAUUAAAUUAAAUUUGAUAAAGUCAUACUUGUGGGCACUCUGUUACAUCUGUCUGUGUAGCUUCUCAGUCACCCAGGUCAUGUCAGUUUCAGGAGCUUGGAAACAAAGUGACUGGACUUUAACCAAAAGAUUAGAGUCCCAGAUAUUUAAACACUAGUGGGGGUUCUUCCUUAUGAGGGUCAACAAUGAUGUGCGUCAUCACAUGAGUCAAGGCUUGAAAAAAGGCGUGGGUCAAUACCACCAGAGGUUUCAGGUGAAACCACAGUGAGACCUUGCCUCCUCCUAUCACGUAACAUAUUUAGGUCAUCUAAAAUGAGACACGACAUCUCAACACCACUCACAUUUGUUUGACCUUCCCACACCUUUUUCCACACCCACCCACUCAGAUGGAACAAAACACAGUGAGUUUAAACACCAAAACUUCCAUUCUAACUUUGCAGAGUAAAACAAUGUGUGGAAAGUGUUUUUCUGUUUGUUUGUUUUGUUUAUGUUUGUUUUGUUUUUCUAUAAUUGUGGACCUACAAAAGAUAGAAGAAAAUAAAUGAUACGAAUACACAGUUGCGUGUGAAAAAUAAUCUAAAGAAUGAAAGAUGGACUCUAAGGUGUGCUGUGUUGUUUUUCACAGGUGCUCAGUAAUGAAGAUGAAGGCGCUGUGAAAUAGGAAAACACUCCUGUGCUACUGUCACAGAAGGCAGAAUGUUUAAUACACAGGAAAUCAGUCCAAAAACAGGCUGAGCAGAAGAAGUAUGCUGAGGGAUUAAUCACUUUACUGGAAACUUUAUUAACUAGUAACUUCAUCAGUCAUGACAGAAGCUAAUAUUUCUGUCCUAAUAUCAUUUAAACUGUAACAGCUUUACGCUAAUGUUUACACAAUAAACACAUAAUAAUAUCUACAAAUGCAUCUUAAAGCUGUUAUAUUAGCACUUGUUGUAUUACUAACAUAACCACAUUAACAUUAUUG
rnacentral:lncRNA from 1 species